GUUAGGCACUUUAAGGCAGUGUCAGGUUAGUUUGUGUUCCCAAUCGCGUUCGGAAAUGCAUUGUAGUUUUCUUUUCUGCUACAAUAGCCAAAAUUCGCUUUUGGCAACGUAAUUAAUUCACUGAACUCCCGGAAGUAGCAGUACUUGAAAAACCCCGCCAGGGGUUGCAAGUUGUCACGGGGUCGUGCUUUUCAAAGAAGUUAUUUCGGGGGUCUGGGAUUGUGGCUCAGAGGUAGAGUGCUCGCCUAGCAAGCACGAGGCAGUGGGUUUGAUCCUCAGGACCACGUAAAUGUAGAAUAAAGAUUUUCUGUGUCCACCUAAAACUUAAGAAUAAUUUUUUUUAAGGAGUUAUUUGGAAGGUACAAUUAAGAAUUGUUAUUGGCGCCCGUUUCGCAUAAGCUCUGCAGUGCUGCACAUAGGCGAGCUGAAAUGAUUUGCAUCCAAGCGCAACAGGCCAGGGAAGCUCCUUCAGGUUAAAAUGUUGAGCAAGGAACCCAGCAACGUGGAGAAGCCACUUUCUUAAAAUCUUUAAUCAGGAGAUAAGCAUUUGCUGGUUCAGAGAGGUAGCUAUCAGGCUGGGAUUUGAGAGUCCAUGAUUUGAUUAUCAGCAAAAGAGGUUGGAGAACCUAGUGCCUUAAAGAACAGAUAUCCAGCAAAGCCACAGAGGUAGGCAGAGAGACAGACGCCAUGGCUCGCUAGGAGUAUUCUGGAGACUUUCAAUGCUUGAUGUAAAAUUCCUCAAUCUCUCCCUCCCCAGUAUCCCAAUGGUGCUUAAAUUCUCCUUCCUGGCAUUUCAUAGUAUUAAUACCUCUGCCACCUGUUAUCCUCUGUGCCAUAGAACACUUGUAUUGUAAAUCCAUGUUCUACCCUCCCAGGAUCUCACCAGGGACUCCAAAACCACCAUUUAAGGCCUUUCUGUUGCUCUGUCUUCCUUUUCCUUGAAGCUAUGGGUUGCGUUCUCUGUCUUGUCACAGGCAACAAAGAGCCCCAAAGUCAUACUAAUAGGCCAGCGGAUCUUGAAAAAUGCACGGAUUUAUGGUUUACUUUUCUAAAACAGGGUUUCCUCCCUCAGUUCUGCGCCGUCAUUCAGGCUGGACGCACUGGGACUGGGGACAGUCCUCAGAAGAGCUGCCUUCCUGGUGUUCCUGAAUUUGUAGGCCUCACAAUUGUCACCUCCCUUCAUUCUUUGCUUUCCGGGAAGACUGUUCCCUGUCUUUGAGGGAUGAACCUCCGGAGCCGGCGGGAGAAGACUUAUUGCCCUCGUGUGGUAGAAGACGAACCCACGCCCAAGGCGCUGUUCUAAGGGGACUGAGACCAUCUCUCUGUGCCGCAGUCUACACGUUAGAGGAAGGUUUCCACUGAUGGUCUUAACUGAAGGAUUGAAGUUUAAGCGUGGGCGAGGGGAGGCGAAUGGGGAGG
rnacentral:lncRNA from 1 species